AUGAUUUGCUGCGGGGAUAAUUUGUGGAGUAUAUUGUACAGCAGUACCAAGUUUAGUGGAAUUUUGCAUAAGGUUGCUUGGUUAGAAUGGUUCUUGGUCCUCCCGCCCGUGCUGCUCUGCUUCCCGGCCAGAGUUACAAGAGUUUUGGACAUUAGGAUUAGGGGCACAAAAAGCACGAUCCCAAGUUUUUUUGGCUUGAUGAUUUGUUGCGGGGUUAAUUUGUGGAGUAUAUCAAAUACAACGUACCAAUUUUGGUUGACUUCUGGAGGCGAUUUGGGGACUAGAAUAGUUCGUGGUCACGAAUAUGUUACCUUCCUUCUUUCUGCUCCCGCCUGUGUGUACAUUAACGCUUUAGGGGCACAGAAGCAUGAUUCCAGGUUUUCUUAG
rnacentral:rRNA from 1 species